CGUGUAGGCGGUCAGGUAAGUGGAAUGUGAAAUGCCCCGGCUCACCCGGGGACCGGGCAUCCCAAACUGCCUGGCUUGAGUAUGGGAGAGGAUGGAGGAAUUCCUGGUGUAGCGGGUGAAAUGCGUAGAUAUCAGGAGGAACACCGGUGGCGAAGGCGUCCAUCUGGCCCAAUACUGACGCUGAGGCGCGAAAGCUAGGGGAGCAAACG
rnacentral:rRNA from 1 species